UACGUAGGGUGCAAGCGUUAAUCGGAAUUACUGGGCGUAAAGCGUGCGCAGGCGGUUUUGUAAGACUGUCGUGAAAUCCCCGGGCUUAACCUGGGAAUGGCGAUGGUGACUGCAAGGCUAGAGUUUGGCAGAGGGGGGUAGAAUUCCACGUGUAGCAGUGAAAUGCGUAGAUAUCAAGAGGAACACCUGAGGUGAAGACGGGUUGCUGGGCUGACACUGACGCUGAUGCGCGAAAGCCAGGGGAGCAAACGGG
rnacentral:rRNA from 1 species